GCAAUUUUUUCUUUGUCUAAUCCCAAAACUAAAAAGCACACAAAUUACAAACCCGUGAGUCCGUGACCAUUCUUCCCUGUUUUGACGCUGGUGGUGCAACUGCAACUUCUAGAGAGAGAAACAAAACAAGAGAGAAGAUGACAAGGGGAAAACAGAAGAUCGAGGCGCAGAAGAAAAAUGCAGAGAAGAACCAGAAAUCAAAAGGAUCUCAAUUUGAAGCACGUGCCGUUGCUCUCAAAAUUACAUGCCCAAUCUGUAAAGUGCAGUUAGCAAAUGAGAAGCAGCUUGUUGAUCAUUACAGCUCCAAGCAUCCAAAAGAGAAGCCUCCAAGCAACUCUGAAUGAUCUGAUCUGUAUGCAUUUGGAUUGAUGCAAAGGUUUGUGUUGUCUGUUUUUCAUUUGCAUGAAGAUAAUGAUAUGUCUAGUGUUUCUUUUGCUUUGACAUUUUCAUUUCUGCCAAAACCGAGUAUAAAAAAGCUUAAUUGAUAUAGAGAUGGUUUUGUUUUGUGA